UCUGUUAAAAGUUGGUGAAUCGCACCUUAAAAGCACCCCAUCUUUUACUCAAGUUUUCCCCAACUCACAAAACUCCCAAGCUCUCAACUUUAACUAUGAAGAAACAAAAACCAGACAACCUUAAAGGCUUCAACCCCUUUAAUCAGCUGCCUCAAGAGAUCAUCUUCACCAUCCUCGACCUCCUUAACUCCAAUCCUCUCGACAUAAAGUCUUUCUCUUUAGCUUGCAAGUCUUUCUACGCUGCUGAAUCCAAGCACCGUACCUCCCUCAAGCCCCUCCGCCAGGAACACCUCCCUUCAAUCCUUUCUCGCUACCCCAACAUCGCCCAUCUCCAUCUCACGCGCUGCUCACGUGUCUCCGACACCUGUCUCUCCUUUGUAUCCCAUGCAUGCGCCUCCUCGCUUCGCUCCAUUGAUUUAUCCAGAACUCAUCUCUUUUCCGCUUCUGGGUUGUUGGGCUUGGCUUUGAAUUGUAACAACUUGGUUGAGAUUGAUUUGUCCAAUGCCACGGAGUUGAAAGACUCGGCUAUGGCUGCCGUUUCCCAAGCUAAGAACUUGGAAAAGUUAUGGCUCGCGAGGUGUAAGUCGGUUACGGAUUUGGGGGUGGGAUGUGUUGCUGUUGGAUGCAGAAAAUUGAAGUCCAUUUGCUUGAAAUGGUGCUUGGGGGUUGGUGAUUUAGGGGUUGGUUUGCUUGCUGUUAAGUGCAACCACAUUUGCUACUUGGAUCUUUCUUACUUGCCUAUUACAAGUAAAUGUUUAUCACCUAUCUUGAAAUUACAACAUCUAGAAGACUUGGUCCUUGAAGGAUGUUUCGGCAUCGAUGAUGACAGCCUUGCUGUCCUCAAACAUGGAUGCAAUUCAUUAAAGAGUCUUGAUGUGUCAACUUGUCAGAAUAUUAGUCACAAUGGCUUGUCUUCCCUAGUAAGUGGUGCUGUAGGUCUGCAGCAACUUACCUUAGCCCAUGGUUCACCUGUAACCUCUUCCCUUGCUGAUUCUUUGAAAAAGUUUUCUAUGUUGCAAUCUGUUAAAUUGGAUGGUUGUCUGAUUAGCUAUGAUGGACUGAAAACUAUCGGAAACUGGUGCGCUUCAUUAAGGGAAUUGAGUUUAAGUAAAUGCUCAGGAGUAACAGAUGAAGGCAUCUCGUCCAUUGUAACAAGGCAUAAAGACCUAAGGAAACUAGACAUUACGUGUUGCCGCAAGAUAACUGAUGUCUCUAUUUCCCGCAUCACAAAUUCGUGCAACUCUCUUACUUCUCUCAGGAUGGAGUCCUGUACCCUGGUUUCUAGAGAAGCAUUUGUUUUGAUCGGCCAGCGGUGUCAUUUGCUUGAAGAGCUUGACCUUACAGAUAAUGAAAUUGAUGAUAAAGGUCUGAAGUACAUAUCCAUAUGUUCCCAACUAUCCAACUUAAAGCUAGGAAUUUGCCUUAAUAUAACUGAUGAGGGACUUAUCCAUAUCGGCAGGGGCUGCUCAAAACUUUUAGAGCUUGAUUUAUACAGGUCUGUAGAAAUAACAGAUUCAGGCAUUAUAGCAAUUGCACAAGGUUGCCCUGGCCUUGAAAUGAUUAAUAUAGCUUACUGCAAAGAUAUUACCGAUCAUUCCUUGCUAUCUUUAUCCAAAUGCUCACGGUUAAAGACGCUUGAAAGUCGAGGGUGUUCUAUGAUAACAUCUUUAGGACUAACAGCUGUUGCUGUGGGAUGCAAGGAACUUACCAAGCUAGACGUAAAGAAGUGUCCUAAUAUUGAUGAUGCAGGAAUGCUUCCACUUGCUCAUUUUUCUCAAAACCUUCGACAAAUUAAUUUGUCCCAUAGCUCGGUUACGGGCAUAGGAUUGUUGUCACUGGCUGGCAUUAGCUGCCUACAGAACAUAACAAUCUUGCACUUAAAAAGUUUGACUCCUACUGGACUAGCCGCCGUCUUGCUGGCAUGUGGAGGGUUGACAAAAGUGAAACUUCAGGCAGAGUUUAAAUGGCUGCUACCCCAUCGACUUAUUGAACAUUUGGAAGCACGCGGUUGUACUUUUCAAUGGAGAGAUAAAGUGCUUCAGGUGGAAUUAGAUCCCAAGUGUUGGAAAUUACGGUUGGAAGAUCUAAUGCCGUAGAGAUCCUUGAAGAUCUUGUAGGUCGAAUGAGUUAGCCACUAAUUAUUGGGAAAUGCAGAUUCUAGGCAUGGACACGUAAAUCAAGAAAGAUAUUCGUUUGUUUGCGAAGCAUUACCCUUCAGAUACAUCUCUAUGCACAAUGACUGCUAUCACAACUUUAAGCUUACGUGUAAUUUAAGACACUACAACUUUCAAGACAAUCAAACCAUAAACAUGGGGAAGGAAAAAAAAAAAACUGAAAAGAGACGGAGCUCAGAGCUAUGAA